GUUGAAAUAUCGGUUCCCGGAAGAUCACCAAAAUUAAGCACCGUUGAGCCUGGUCAGUACUUAGAUGGGUGACCGCUUGAAAAUUCCAGGUACUGUAA